CUGCGCUGCUACCAUGCAAGUCGAACGAGAAAGCUCCUUCGGGAGUGAAUAAAGUGGCGCACGGGUGAGUAACACGUGGGUAAUCUACCUUCAGGUUCGGAAUAACUCGGGGAAACUCGGGCUAAUACCGAAUGAGACCACGUCACUGCGGUGAAGUGGGAAAAGUGGGGGCCCUCCUCGGAGGCCUCAUGCCGGAAGAUGAGCCCGCGGUCCAUCAGGUAGUUGGUGGGGUAACGGCCCACCAAGCCAAAGACGGAUAGCUGGUCUGAGAGGAUGAUCAGCCACACUGGAACUGAGACACGGUCCAGACUCCUACGGGAGGCAGCAGUGGGGAAUAUUGCGCAAUGGGCGAAAGCCUGACGCAGCAACGCCGUGUGUGUGAUGAAGGCCCUCGGGUCGUAAAGCACUGUCGGGACCCAAGAUGGGCGCGAGGGAACAAUACCCCGAGCGUCUGACGGUAAGUCCAAAGGAAGCACCGGCUAACUCUGUGCCAGCAGCCGCGGUAAGACAGAGGGUGCAAGCGUUGUUCGGAAUUAUUGGGCGUAAAGCGCGCGUAGGCGGUUUUCCAAGUCGGAUGUGAAAGCCCGGGGCUCAACCCCGGAAGUGCAUUUGAAACUGGAUCACUUGAGUCCCGGAGAGGGUGGUGGAAUUCCUGGUGUAGAGGUGAAAUUCGUAGAUAUCAGGAGGAACACCCGUGGCGAAGGCGACCACCUGGACAGUGACUGACGCUGAGUGCGAAAGCGUGGGGGGGCAAACAGGAUUAGAUACCCUGGUAGUCCACGCCGUAACGAUGGAUACUAGUGCCUGGUGGGGUAUUGAC
rnacentral:rRNA from 1 species